rnacentral:lncRNA from 1 species
AGGUGAGCGUGGGAUCCACGCGGUGGAGCGCGCGCUCUCGCGUGCUGAGGCGUGACGUGGCGGCUCGUCACUGGUUUGGAGAGGGAGCACGCGGAUCAGUGCGGCGUGGAGAGUUUGGAUCAACGACGUGGCAAGCAUCCAGGAGGCUUCCUUCGGUUCUAAGGAAGAAUGGGUGGACCAGAUCCAUUCUGAGUUAGGGUUUCGCCCUAGGGGUAUUUGAGACAAUGUCUUAGGGGUCUUAGCCUAUAAAUAGAGAGAUGGAUGCAAGGGUGGAUGUUGCUCCUUUGGCAAUCCUUUUGAGAUGCUCGGUGAGAGAGUUUCGGUGUGAGUUUGGAGUGUGUUUGCCCGAGAGGCUUUUGUAUUAGGAUUAGUUUGGAGUGUGUUUGUCUGAGAGAUUUUAAGUUUGUGUUAAUGUUCCUCUGAAGGUGUAUGCUUGCUCCUAGUUGAGCGGUUAUUUUGCAUCACCUAUAAAUGAAAUGAUUUGAAGGAUUUCAUUUUUGCCUUGUCCAUUUAAAUUCCGCUUGCAAUUUGAACUUUGCGAUGAUGAGUUUUGCUCUCUCUUCCUCACCUCUCUUCUAGUUUCGGGAAUUCCUUUUCUCUUCCUCCUCUAGUUUCGGGAAUUCCUUCUCUCUUCUUUUGCUCUCUUCUUUUCUAGAUCCGGCUUCUCUAAUAGCCGCGGUUCUAGUAAGGAUUUUGAGAAAUCCGGCUUGAUGAGUAUUUUCGGGGGCAAGAUUUGAAUUGCUAUAUUCACCCCCCCCUCUAUAGCUGUUCUUUGUCUUUCAAUUGGUAUCAGAGCCCGGUUAAGUUCGUUGUAACCUAACCGUGGCAACGAACGCAGCUAUGGAGGAAAAAUACUCUGCGAAACCAUUUGUUUUCGAUGGACACAAUUUUGUCAUUUGGAAGGCACGAAUGGAGGCCUACCUCCAGUCGCAAGGGCAUAAUGUGUGGAAUAAGGUUAAAUCACCUUACACUGUGCCCGAUGAUGCUGACAUCACGCCUGCAAAUAUGGCUCAGGUUGAUUUUAAUUAUCGUGCAAGAAAUGCAAUCAUUGGUGGAAUUUCUUCUGGUGAAUUUAAUCGUGUUCAACACCACAAGUCUGCUCAUGACAUGUGGACUGCUCUGUGCAAUUUCCAUGAGGGAAACAAUGAUAUUCAAUUGGUUCGUCAGAAUCAAUUUCAUAAAGAAUAUCAAAGAUUUGAGAUGCACCCAGGAGAGUCCAUUGAUUCUUAUUUCAAGCGUUUUGGAGAAAUUGUUUCGAAGUUAAGAUCUGUUGGAAAAGAGUUUUCUGAUAAUGAUAAUGCUCGUCAUCUUUUGAAUUGUCUUGAUUAUGGUGUUUGGGAAAUGAAAGUUACUUCCAUCACAGAGAGUGCACCUCUGAGUGACCUUACCAUGGACAAGCUUUACUCAAAGCUAAAAACCCAUGAGAUGGAUGUUUUCCAUCGGAAAGGCCUCAAACACUCCAUGGCUUUGGUAGCUGAUCCCUCUGGUAGUACUUCUUCUAAUGACUCAGCUUUUGUGUGUGGUGGCUUCUCUCUUGCCGCUUUACACUCAGUCACUGAGGAGCAAUUAGAGAAGAUCCCUGAAGAUGAUCUUGCUCUUUUUGCUAGAAAAUUCUCAAGAGCUUACAAAAAUGUGAGAAAUAAAAAGAGAGGAAAAACCAAUGAACCAUUUGUGUGUUUUGAGUGUGGAGAGCCUAACCACAUAAGAGUGAAUUGUCCCAAGUUGAAGAAGAAGAGUGACAAGACGACCAAGAAGCCCGAGGGACAAGGGCGAAAGGGGAAGAAUGAUUUGAUGAAGAAGGCGAUCCACAAGGUCUUGGCGGCUCUUGAGGAGGUGCAGCUUAGCGACAUCGACUCCGACGACGAUGAUCAAGAAAAGGGGGACAAGGACUUCUCCGGGAUGUGCUGUCUCGCCAACAACGAGGACUUCAUCAACCUGUGUCUCAUGGCACUUGAGGAUAAGGAUGACUCAUCGGAGCAUCCUGAGGAUUUUGGAGUGGGGAGAAGUAAUUCUUGGCUUGUGGACUCCGGUUGCUCACGCCACAUGACCGGUGAAGCCAAGUGGUUUACUUCUCUCACUCGUGCAUCCGGUGAUGAGACCAUCACUUUUGGGGAUGCGAGCAGUGGACGCGUGAUGGCUAAAGGAACAAUCAAGGUCAAUGACAAAUUCAUGCUGAAAGAUGUGGCACUAGUAAGUAAGCUUAAGUACAAUUUGCUCUCUGUUUCACAACUCUGUGAUGAAAAUCUGGAAGUUCGUUUCAAAAAGGACAGGUCUCGAGUUCUUGAUGCUUCUGAAUCUCCUGUUUUUGACAUUUCUCGAGUUGGUCGAGUUUUCUUUGCUAACUUCGACUCUUCUGCUCCCGGUCCUUCUCGUUGUCUCGUUGCCUCAGAGAAUAGGGAUUUGUUUUUCUGGCAUCGACGUCUUGGUCAUAUUGGCUUUGACCACUUGUCUCGCAUUAGUGGUAUGGAUUUGAUUCGGGGUUUGCCUAAGUUGAAAGCUCCGAAAGAUCUUGUGUGUGCACCAUGUCGUCAUGGGAAAAUGACAUCUUCCUCCCACAAGCCUGUUACAAUGGUUAUGACAGAUGGACCGGGACAACUGCUUCACAUGAAUACGGUUGGUCCUGCUCGGGUCCAGUCAGUUGGGGGGAAGUGGUAUGUCUUGGUUGUUGUGGAUGAUUUCUCUCGCUACUCUUGGGUCUAUUUUCUUGAAUCAAAGGAGGAAACGUUUGGCUUCUUUCAGUCUCUUGCUCGUAGUUUGGCUUUGGAGUUUCCUGGUGCUCUUCGAGCCAUUCGCAGUGAUAAUGGCUCUGAAUUCAAAAAUUCUGCAUUUGAAUCUUUCUGUGAUUCUUCUGGAGUCGAACACCAGUUUUCUUCGCCAUAUGUCCCACAACAGAAUGGGGUGGUUGAGAGGAAGAACCGCACCCUUGUGGAGAUGGCACGAACUAUGCUUGAUGAGUUUACGACUCCAAGAAAGUUCUGGACUGAAGCUAUUUCUGCUGCUUGUUUUAUCUCCAAUCGUGUGUUUUUGAGAACUAUCUUGCACAAGACGCCAUAUGAGCUCAGAUUUGGUCGUCGACCAAAAGUUUCACAUCUCAGGGUCUUCGGUUGCAAAUGCUUUGUUCUUAAAUCUGGAAAUUUGGACAAGUUUGAAUCUCGAUCAUUGGAUGGCAUUUUCCUUGGCUAUGCUACUCAUUCUCGGGCUUAUCGAGUUUAUGUUCUUUCAACUAACAAAAUUGUGGAGACUUGUGAAGUCACUUUUGAUGAGGCUAGCCCAGGAGCUAGACCAGAAAUUUCAGGUGUUCUAGAUGAAAGCAUCUUUGUGGAUGAGGAUUCAGAUGAUGAUGACGAUGAUUCCAUUCCUCCACCUCUAGACAGUACACCACCAGUGCAAGAAACCGGUUCUCCUUCGACUACAUCACCUUCAGGAGAUGCACCAACUACAUCAUCUUCAGCAGCUGAGGAGAUUGAUGGUGGCACAUCAGGACCGACAGCUCCCCGACACAUCCAGAACCGACAUCCGCCUGACUCGAUGAUCGGAGGCCUGGGUGAAAGGGUAACUAGAAAUCGGUCUUAUGAUCUUGUCAAUUCAGCGUUUGUUGCCUCUUUUGAGCCCAAAAAUGUUUGUCAUGCUUUAUCUGAUGAGAAUUGGGUUAAUGCCAUGCAUGAAGAGUUAGAAAAUUUUGAAAGAAACAAAGUUUGGUCUUUGGUAGAACCACCCUUGGGUUUUAAUGUGAUUGGAACAAAAUGGGUUUUCAAAAACAAACUAGGUGAAGAUGGUUCAAUUGUUCGAAACAAAGCCAGACUGGUUGCACAGGGUUUCACCCAAGUUGAGGGCUUGGAUUUUGAAGAAACCUUUGCACCAGUUGCUAGAUUAGAAGCUAUUCGAAUUCUUUUGGCUUUUGCUGCUUCAAAAGGUUUCAAGCUUUUUCAAAUGGAUGUGAAAAGUGCUUUUCUGAAUGGAGUUAUUGAGGAAGAGGUCUAUGUCAAACAACCUCCUGGUUUUGAAAAUCCAAAAUUUCCAAAUCAUGUGUUCAAACUUGAUAAAGCUCUUUAUGGUUUAAAACAAGCUCCCAGAGCCUGGUAUGAAAGAUUGAAAACCUUUUUGCUUCAAAAUGGUUUUGAAAUGGGGGCAGUUGAUAAAACUCUCUUUACUCUUCAUAGUGGCAUUGAUUUUCUUCUUGUCCAGAUAUAUGUUGAUGACAUCAUAUUUGGUGGCUCCUCUCAUGCACUUGUUGCCCAGUUUUCUGAUGUGAUGAGCAGGGAAUUCGAAAUGAGCAUGAUGGGAGAGCUGACUUUCUUCCUUGGACUUCAAAUUAAGCAAACCAAGGAAGGAAUCUUUGUACAUCAGACCAAGUACUCCAAAGAGCUCCUGAAGAAGUUCGACAUGGCCGACUGCAAGCCAAUCGCCACUCCCAUGGCAACUACUUCAUCGCUUGGUCCUGAUGAGGACGGUGAAGAAGUUGACCAGCGCGAGUACAGAAGCAUGAUCGGCUCCCUCCUCUACUUGACUGCGUCAAGGCCGGACAUCCACUUCUCCGUGUGCCUGUGCGCGAGGUUUCAGGCUUCUCCAAGAACAUCACAUCGCCAAGCAGUCAAGCGCAUCUUUCGCUACAUCAAGUCUACACUUGAGUACGGUAUUUGGUACUCCUGCUCUUCUGCCCUUUCAGUUCGAGCUUUUUCAGAUGCUGAUUUUGCUGGGUGUAAGAUUGAUCGCAAAAGUACUUCUGGCACUUGUCAUUUUCUUGGCACGUCUUUGGUCUCUUGGUCCUCUCGUAAGCAGUCUUCUGUUGCUCAAUCAACAGCUGAGGCUGAGUACGUAGCUGCUGCUAGUGCAUGUAGUCAAGUUCUUUGGAUGAUUUCAACUCUGAAAGAUUAUGGUCUGUCUUUCUCUGGUGUUCCUCUGCUUUGUGAUAAUACAAGUGCAAUCAAUAUUGCAAAAAAUCCAGUUCAACACUCCAGGACCAAGCACAUUGAGAUACGGUACCACUUUCUCCGAGACAAUGUUGAGAAAGGUACCAUUGUGCUAGAAUUUGUUGAAUCUGAAAAACAAUUGGCAGACAUUUUUACAAAACCACUUGAUCGCUCUCGUUUUGAGUUCUUGCGGAGUGAGUUAGGGGUGAUCCACCCCUAUGGCUUGAUUUGAGGGGGAGUUGUUUUUCUUUUGCAUGCAUUUGUAACAUAUUGCAUCAUGUUUACUUUAUGCAUUGUAUUAUACACUCUUCAAUUGAGCUUUGCUUGUUAUCUCUUGGUCAUCACUAUGCUAUGCAUGUAUCACUCUUUUGCUAGUUUGAUCUCUUGUCUAGCUUUCAUUUGCUUAAGUAGCUUGUGUGAUCAUGUUAUGCUGUUCAAGCUUGUUGAAACCUGCUUAAAUUGACUAUUCAUUUGAACUUAAUCAAUGUGCAAUGCUUGCUCUAGAAGUUUGUUUAAAUUGAAGUAUCCCUCUCAUACUCAUGCCAUGUUUACAUUCUUUUUGCAAUAACUGUCAGUACAUGCUUAUGAAUGCUCAUGCUUAUGCGUCCAUACUUUGUAUCAAUCAUGCUUUACAAGCUUUAUCUCUGUUUUUGUCCGGGCUACUGAGUGCGUUUACGCAUGAGUAGUGCCGAAGAUAGCACUGAGACAGCCUGUAAUGGGAACUCUAGCUGGAACACUUGAUUGAGGUCAGACGGCAGUGUUUGGCACAACCAUCACUUGCUGACUGAUAAGAUCAGGUGGACCGUCGUGAUUGUGCUAUUGUCUUUAAAGAAAUUAAAAAACAAUCUUAAAAAUAAAAGUCAUGAGAAAAGAUUAAAAGCUCAUGUUCUAUGCUUUGUUAUCAUGUUGAUACUCUUUAUGAACUGGGCAUUAGCACAUUAGCAUGGGUUCAUUGCUUUGAUUAUGUAAAUCUUGCAUGAUUAUGAGCUGGUUUGCUUCCUUUUAAGCUUCUUCUAGAAAUAGCUUUGCACACUAAAUCACUAAUUCACUUGAAAACUUUUUGCUUGCUGGCGAUACUAACUUGAUAUCCAUGACCUGUUUCAUACUUCUUAUGCACAUGCUUAGCUAGGCUUGAGCACAUGCUUGUAUCUGUGUGAUCCAUGUCUACCUUUUGAUGCCUUUAGAUAACUCUCAAAGCUCUCAAAACACUAAAAUUUGUAAGUUUCAUCUCAUUUUUAUCUUGCAUUUUUGUCUCUUUUGAUCUUGAUGGCAUCAUUGACAAAGGGGGAGAGAAAUUUGCACUUAUUGAAAAUUAAAAAACUUGCUUUAGAUCUUGGUGAAAGGGGGAGUUUGGCACAUAGGGGGAGCAUUCUUGCAUUUGCAUUCGCAUCCCUUUUCUUCUUGUCACUUCACUUGGUCUUGAUUUUUCGCGAUUUCAAAAUGACCAAAGUUCGACGUUUGCAAAAUGGUUUGCUUUGUGAAUCAAAAAUCAAAUUUUCAAAAUUUUUGCUUGGGAUUGUCAAUGUUCCCAUCAAGGGGGAGAUUGUGAAACCAUGUGUGGUUAUAGUUCUUUUGUGAUGGGAAAUUGACAAGUACCGGAAGUGCAAGAAGUGUGUGCGUGGACUAACAUUGGUCAGAUUGCGACAUCUGUGCCAAGACAACGGUUGUUUGGUUCAUGUGUGUGCAGGUGAUCGGGGUCGAUCUUGGUCAACGGCGGAUCGGGACUAGACUCAGGGAGGAGUUGAGGUCCAAAGCGAUCAAGGAUGCCGGGUGACAAGAUUGGACAUAAGGUUGCACACGGUGGACGAACACCGUGUGAGGUCUUCGCAACGGACUUCGCAAGGUCAAGUGCAAGUGCCGGGUUCGCGAACAGAAUGGAGAAUGGAAGAGGAGCUUGUAUACAUGCACUGGCAUGUGCAUAUGCAAGCAUGGACAGUGGUGCUUCGGUUGUGCAUGCGUGCACAUGGCCGAAUGUCAUGCACGGGCGCAAGACAUGCAUGUGUGCAUGAGGAGCUUGCUAGCCCAUGGGUGCAUGUGAGCUGUGAUUGGUUGGCAGGGAGGCCAAGCCAAUCCAGCCCUUCCUCAUGGCUCAAGAUGAUGGAUGGAUCAGCAGGCAGGGAGGCCAGGCCGAGCAGGCCCAAGACAAGACGACGGCCCACGGCAUUGGCACCAUGCGCGGGCAAGCGCGGGAGAUCGCGCGAGGCACGCGCGCGCAGUGGACACGCGGCGGCAAGGAAUUCGGCGCGUGCGGGCGUGGGGUCCACGCUGUUUCAAGUGGCUCGGAGGCGGGAGUUGUACUGGGACCCACGCGCGAUUUCGCGAGCAUGCGCGGGAGCAGCUCGGCGGGACGCGUGGAGGCUUUGGACUGGAUGCGCGCAGGUGAGCGUGGGAUCCACGCGGUGGAGCGCGCGCUCUCGCGUGCUGAGGCGUGACGUGGCAGCUCGUCACUGGUUUGGAGAGGGAGCACGCGGAUCAGUGCGGCGUGGAGAGUUUGGAUCAACGACGUGGCAAGCAUCCAGGAGGCUUCCUUCGGUUCUAAGGAAGAAUGGGUGGACCAGAUCCAUUCUGAGUUAGGGUUUCGCCCUAGGGGUAUUUGAGACAAUGUCUUAGGGGUCUUAGCCUAUAAAUAGAGAGAUGGAUGCAAGGGUGGAUGUUGCUCCUUUGGCAAUCCUUUUGAGAUGCUCGGUGAGAGAGUUUCGGUGUGAGUUUGGAGUGUGUUUGCCCGAGAGGCUUUUGUAUUAGGAUUAGUUUGGAGUGUGUUUGUCUGAGAGAUUUUAAGUUUGUGUUAAUGUUCCUCUGAAGGUGUAUGCUUGCUCCUAGUUGAGCGGUUAUUUUGCAUCACCUAUAAAUGAAAUGAUUUGAAGGAUUUCAUUUUUGCCUUGUCCAUUUAAAUUCC